CCAAUUCCGGGAAAUGGUGUCUUCCCGAACCGAACCGCGAGCCUGACGCGCCGCUGAUGACGCCUGUUUUUAG
rnacentral:ncRNA from 2 species